UNUAAAGUCUAAUCUGCCCUAUGAGUAGUUAAAUGGCCGCGGUACUUUGACCGUGCAAAGGUAGCAUAAUAAUUAGUUUUUUAAUUGAAAGCUGGAAUGAACGAUUGGACGAGAAAAUGACUGUCUCAAUUUAAUUUUAUUAGAAUUUUAUUUUUAAGUAAGAAAGCUUAAAUAAUAUUAAAAGACGAGAAGACCCUAUAGAGUUUUAUAAUUAGUGAAUUAUUGAUUUUUUAGAAUUUUUUUAUUAAUAUUUUACUAAUUAUUUUAUUGGGGCGAUAGAAAAAUUAAAAUAACUUUUUUUUAUGUCUAACAUUAAUUUAUGUUUAUAUGAUCCAUUUUUUAUGAUUAGAAGAUUAAGUUACCUUAGGGAUAACAGCGUAAUUUUUUUUUAGAGUUCUUAUCGAAAAAAAAGGUUGCGACCUCGAUGUUGGAUUAAAAUAAAUUUUUGGUGUAGAAGCUAGAAAAUUAGGUCUGUUCGACCUUUAAAAUUUUACA
rnacentral:rRNA from 1 species